GUCGAGCGGUAGCACAGAGAGCUUGCUCUCGGGUGACGAGUGGCGGACGGGUGAGUAAUGUCUGGGAAACUGCCUGAUGGAGGGGGAUAACUACUGGAAACGGUAGCUAAUACCGCAUAACGUCGCAAGACCAAAGAGGGGGACCUUCGGGCCUCUUGCCAUCAGAUGUGCCCAGAUGGGAUUAGCUAGUAGGUGGGGUAACGGCUCACCUAGGCGACGAUCCCUAGCUGGUCUGAGAGGAUGACCAGCCACACUGGAACUGAGACACGGUCCAGACUCCUACGGGAGGCAGCAGUGGGGAAUAUUGCACAAUGGGCGCAAGCCUGAUGCAGCCAUGCCGCGUGUAUGAAGAAGGCCUUCGGGUUGUAAAGUACUUUCAGCGGGGAGGAAGGCGAUAAGGUUAAUAACCUUGUCGAU
rnacentral:rRNA from 1 species